rnacentral:rRNA from 1 species
CAUAUCAAUAAGCGGAGGAAAAGAAACUAACAAGGAUUCCCCUAGUAACUGCGAGUGAAGCGGGAAAAGCUCAAAUUUAAAAUCUGGCAGCCUUCGGUUGUCCGAGUUGUAAUCUAGAGAAGUGUUAUCCGCGCUGGACCGUGUACAAGUCUCCUGGAAUGGAGCGUCAUAGAGGGUGAGAAUCCCGUCUUUGACACGGACUGCCAGGGCUUUGUGAUGCGCUCUCAAAGAGUCGAGUUGUUUGGGAAUGCAGCUCAAAAUGGGUGGUAAAUUCCAUCUAAAGCUAAAUAUUGGCGAGAGACCGAUAGCGAACAAGUACCGUGAGGGAAAGAUGAAAAGAACUUUGGAAAGAGAGUUAAACAGUACGUGAAAUUGCUGAAAGGGAAACGCUUGAAGUCAGUCGCGUUGUUUGGGAAUCAACCUUGCUUUUGCUGGGCGUACUUUCCAGAUGACGGGCCAGCAUCAAUUUUGACCGUUGGAUAAAGGCUGGAGGAAUGUGGCAUCUUCGGAUGUGUUAUAGCCUCUGGUUGUAUACAACGGUUGGGAUUGAGGAACUCAGCACGCCGCAAGGCCGGGUACUUGUACCACGUUCGUGCUUAGGAUGCUGGCAUAAUGGCUUUAAUCGACCCGUCUUGAAACACGGACCAAGGAGUCUAACAUGCCUGCGAGUAUUUGGGUGGAAAACCCGAGUGCGUAAUGAAAGUGAAAGUUGAGAUCCCUGUCGCGGGGAGCAUCGACGCCCGGACCAGACCUUUUGUGACGGAUCUGCGGUAAAGCWUGUAUGUUGGGACCCGAAAGAUGGUGAACUAUGCCUGAAUAGGGUGAAGCCAGAGGAAACUCUGGUGGAGGCUCGUAGCGAUUCUGACGUGCAAAUCGAUCGUCAAAUUUGGGUAUAGGGGCGAAAGACU